CGCGCUCGCGCAGAGCGCGCGGGGCGGGACUUCCGGCUCACGUCCAGGAAACCGGAAGGGGACCCUUCCCUCCCCGGAAGGAAAGGAGAGUUGAGAUGAAGAUUGGGUACGGAGUAGGUAUGUGUGCUCCCUCGAAGCAGAAAGUAGUUGUUCCUAUUUCGAUUAUUCAGAGAUUAUGAAGGCACAGUCCUGCCUUUGAUCUGCUUAUAGUCAAAUGGAACAGACACAAGUCAGUGGUUACAGGGUAGCCACUUAAGGAUUCUAGAGUAGAUUUAUCAGCAGGUUGCAGGUGCACGUGGCCUCAAGGUAAAGCUUGCCCUGUAUUGAAACUUAGUUUUAGCAGAUUGUUUAUUGUAUUUUAAGGAACUGCAAUCAUGUAAAAAAAUGAGUUAUGUUUAGUUUUGUUCUAGACAUCAUUUUCCUGUAGAAGUUGAGAAAGAUGUUUAAAUAAAAGGUUCAUUAUGCUAAAAAAUUUUGAUUCUUGAAGUUGGUGCUUUCCCUUGUUUAAGUGAUUUUAAAAUGUUAAAGAUAAUUCCAGACAGUUUAUUUUUUGUCUAAUCAAUAUUUAUUAAGACCCAGGCAAGUGUUGAGCUUUUCUCUAUGUUCAUAUUAUUUGUGAAGCAUUCCAUAAAGCCUGCUUGAACCCUGCAUUUAUACCUGGCAUAAUGCAAUACCUUAUUUCCUUUUUCCUAGCUUCUAUUUUAAUAGUUGGGAACAUUUUUGAGUAUGUACAUAUGUAUAUGUUAAUUGUUUACAACUGAGCCAUUUCUGUACUCACCUCUGCUGCACCUUAUUUCAGGGAGGGUGAUCCAGCUUGUCAUGGCAGCUGUGUGUGUGU